GAUACCAGGGUCAAAAGGUUGGAAAUCCGAUGCAAGCUUGCUUGCAAGCGGAUUUUUAACCUUGGGCCCCACCAAAAACAUGAAUAAGUAGCCAUUUUUCAAAGAAAAAUGAGCGAAUUAUGAAUGUUUUUGAGGAUUGCGGGAGCACACCGUGCGGAGCAAUCCGGU
rnacentral:sRNA from 1 species